AUUGAACGCUGGCGGCAGGCUUAACACAUGCAAGUCGAACGAGUGGCGGACGGGUGAGUAAUGCGUGGGAAACUAGCUUAUGGAGGGGGAUAACUACGGGAAACGGUAGCUAAUACCGCGUACCAUAGGAUGAGCCAAAUUGGGAUUAGGUAGUUGGUGGGGUAAAGGCUCACCAAGGCGACGAUCCCUAGCUGGUCUGAGAGGAUGACCAGCCACACUGGAACUGAGACACGGCCCAGACUCCUACGGGAGGCAGCAGUGGGGAAUAUUGCGCAAUGGGGGCAACCCUGACGCAGCCAUGCCGCGUGGAUGAAGAAGGCCUUCGGGUUGUAAAGUACUUUCAGCGGGGAGGCGUUACCUGCAGAAGAAGCACCGGCUAACUCCGUGCCAGCAGCCGCGGUAAUAC
rnacentral:rRNA from 1 species